rnacentral:SRP_RNA from 1 species
GCCGGGUGCGGUGGCUCACGCCUGUAAUCCCAGCACUUUGGGAGGCUGAGGCGGGCAGGUCACAAGGUCAGGAGAUCGAGACCAUCCUGGCUAACACAGUGAAACACCGUCUCUACUAAAAAUACAAAAAGUUAGCCGGGUGUGGUGGCAGUUGCCUGUAGUCCCAGCUACGCGGGAGACUGAGGCAGGAGAAUGGUGUGAACCCGGGAGGCGGAGCUUGCAGUGANNNNNNNNNNUCACUGCAAGCUCCGCCUCCCGGGUUCACACCAUUCUCCUGCCUCAGUCUCCCGCGUAGCUGGGACUACAGGCAACUA